AACGAACGCUGGCGGCAUGCCUAACACAUGCAAGUCGAACGAGACCUUCGGGUCUAGUUGCGCACGGGUGCGUAACGCGUUGGAACCUGCCCUUAGGUUCGGAAUAACUCCCCGAAAGGGGUGCUAAUACCGGAUAAUGUCUUCGGACCAAAGAUUUAUCGCCUUUUGAUGGGCCCGCGUUGGAUUAGCUAGUUGGUAGGGUAAAAGCCUACCAAGGCGACGAUCCAUAGCUGGUCUGAGAGGAUGAUCAGCCACACUAGGACUGAGACACGGCCCAGACUCCUACGGGAGGCAGCAGUGGGGAAUAUUGGACAAUGGGCGAAAGCCUGAUCCAGCAAUGCAGCGUGAGUGAUGAAGGCCUUAGGGUUGUAAAGCUCUUUUACCCGGGAUGAUAAUGACAGUACCGGGAGAAUAAGCUCCGGCUAACUCCGUG
rnacentral:rRNA from 1 species